rnacentral:rRNA from 1 species
AAAACAAACCAUUCGCCCGAGAAUUACCAGCACAGGCUAAAAACUCAAAAGACUUGACGGUGCUCUACCCUACCUAGAGGAGCCUGUCCUAUAAUCGAUACUCCACGACCUACCUGACCUUUACUAGCCCAUCAGCCUAUAUACCGCCGUCGAAAGUAUAUUCUGCAAAGAAUCAAUAAUUGACCCAACAGUCUUACCACUAAAACGUCAGGCCAAGGCAUAACUAAUGUAAAGGAAGAGAUGGGCUACAUUUUCUACUCACAGAACACACGAAAAAUAACAUGAAACCUGUUAAUUUAAAGGAGGAUUUAGCAGUAAGGCGGGUA